rnacentral:rRNA from 1 species
GACGAACGCUGGCGGCGUGCUUAACACAUGCAAGUCGAACGGAAAGGCCCUGCUUUUGUGGGUUUCUCGAGUGGCGAACGGGGGAGAAAAACGUGAGGAACCUGCCCUUAACUUUGGGAUAACUUCAGGAAACUGGGGCUAAUACCGGAGAGGAGCUCCUGCUGCAUGGGGGGGGAUGGAAAGUUUCGGCGGUUGGGGAUGGUCUCGCGGCUUAUCAGCUUGUUGGUGUGGUUGUGGCUGACAAAGGCUUUGACGGGUAGCCGGCCUGGGAGGGUGACCGGCCACCUUGGGACUGCGGUACGGCCCAGACUCCUACGGGAGGCAGCAGUGGGGAAUAUUGCACAAUGGGCGGACGCCUGAUGCAGCAACGCCGCGUGCGGGAUGACGGCCUUCGGGUUGUAAACCGCUUUCGCCGGUGACGAAGCGUGAGUGACGGUAAUGGGUAAAGAAGCACCGGCUAACUACGUG